rnacentral:rRNA from 1 species
AACGAACGCUGGCGGCAGGCUUAACACAUGCAAGUCGAGCGGACCCUUCGGGGUCAGCGGCGGACGGGUGAGUAACGCGUGGGAACGUGCCCUUUCCUCCGGAAUAGCCCUGGGAAACUGGGAGUAAUGCCGGAUACGCCCUUUUGGGGAAAGAUUUAUCGGGGAAGGAUCGGCCCGCGUUGGAUUAGGUAGUUGGUGGGGUAACGGCCUACCAAGCCGACGAUCCAUAGCUGGUUUGAGAGGAUGAUCAGCCACACUGGGACUGAGACACGGCCCAGACUCCUACGGGAGGCAGCAGUGGGGAAUCUUGGACAAUGGGGGCAACCCUGAUCCAGCCAUGCCGCGUGAUCGAUGAAGGCCUUAGGGUUGUAAAGAUCUUUCAGCUGGGAAGAUAAUGACGGUACCAGCAGAAGAAGCCCCGGCUAACUCCGUGCCAGCCGCCGCCGUAAAAC